GGUUGCGAUCAUACCAGCACUAAUGCACCGGAUCCCAUCAGAACUCCGCAGUUAAGCGUGCUUGGGCGAGAGUAGUACUAGGAUGGGUGACCCCCUGGGAAGUCCUCGGGUUGCAACCCC
rnacentral:rRNA from 1 species